GACGAACGCUGGCGGCGUGCUUAACACAUGCAAGUCGAGCGGUAAGGCCCUUUCGGGGGUACACGAGCGGCGAACGGGUGAGUAACACGUGGGUGACCUGCCCUUAGCUCUGGGAUAAGCCUGGGAAACUGGGUCUAAUACCGGAUAUGACUCCAUGACGCAUGUUGUGGGGUGGAAAGCCUUGUGCGGCUAGGGAUGGGCCCGCGGCUUAUCAGCUUGUUGGUGGGGUGAUGGCCUACCAAGGCGACGACGGGUAGCCGGCCUGAGAGGGCGACCGGCCACACUGGGACUGAGACACGGCCCAGACUCCUACGGGAGGCAGCAGUGGGGAAUCUUGCGCAAUGGGCGAAAGCCUGACGCAGCGACGCCGCGUGGGGAUGACGGCCUCGGUGU
rnacentral:rRNA from 1 species